UAGGGAAUCUUCCACAAUGGACGCAAGUCUGAUGGAGCAACGCCGCGUGAGUGAAGAAGGUUUUCGGAUCGUAAAGCUCUGUUGUUGGUGAAGAAGGAUAGAGGCAGUAACUGGUCUUUAUUUGACGGUAAUCAACCAGAAAGUCACGGCUAACUACGUGCCAGCAGCCGCGGUAAUACGUAGGUGGCAAGCGUUGUCCGGAUUUAUUGGGCGUAAAGCGAGCGCAGGCGGAAUGAUAAGUCUGAUGUGAAAGCCCACGGCUCAACCGUGGAACUGCAUCGGAAACUGUCAUUCUUGAGUGCAGAAGAGGAGAGUGGAAUUCCAUGUGUAGCGGUGGAAUGCGUAGAUAUAUGGAAGAACACCAGUGGCGAAGGCGGCUCUCUGGUCUGCAACUGACGCUGAGGCGCGAAAGCAUGGGUAGCGAACAGG
rnacentral:rRNA from 1 species